ACCAGACUCCUACGGGAGGCAGCAGUGGGGGAUAUUGCACAAUGGGGGAAACCCUGAUGCAGCGACGCCGCGUGAGGGAAGACGGUUUUCGGAUUGUAAACCUCUGUCUUUGGGGACGAAUUGAGACGGUACCCAAGGAGGAAGCUCCGGCUAACUACGUGCCAGUAGCCGCGGUAAUACGUAGGGAGCAAGCGUUAUCCGGAUUUACUGGGUGUAAAGGGCGCGUAGGCGGGAUGGCAAGUCAGAUGUGAAAUCCAAGGGCUCAACCCUUGAACUGCAUUUGAAACUGUCGUUCUUGAGUACUGGAGAGGUUGACGGAAUUCCUAGUGUAGCGGUGAAAUGCGUAGAUAUUAGGAGGAACACCAGUGGCGAAGGCGGUCAACUGGACAGCAACUGACGCUGAGGCGCGAAAGCGUGGGGAGCAAACAGGAUUAGAUACCCCCGUACA
rnacentral:rRNA from 1 species